rnacentral:tmRNA from 1 species
GGGGAUGUUAGGUUUCGACAGGGGUAUGUAUCAGGGCAUCGCGGGUCGAGGACGCCAUCACCCUCGUAAAUCCGGUGGCAACGCCUUAACUGGCAACCAACAACUCGCUUACGCCGCUUAAUUAAGCCGCGUACAUCCGACCGACCCCGUCCCGACGGGUCGGGUUCCGGGUGUCAUUUAGCCGGGAUGCCGCGCGCCUGACCCCUAUGGGGCGCGCCUAAGACUAUAGGACAGGGGUCAGCGGACUUCGCCGGUAGAGGACGCGGACCCGACAUUAAAGUGCCGGAUAUACCUGUAGACGUGUCUUGUUUUGUGCUCUUGGACGGGGCGUUCGAUUCGCCCCCAUCUCCACCA